rnacentral:rRNA from 1 species
ACAUGGGCUAUGCCUAUGAAAAUUAUUAUACAACUUUCAGCAACGGAUCUCUUGGCUCUCGCAUCGAUGAAGACCGCAGCGAAAUGCGAUAAGUAAUGUGAAUUGCAGAAUUCAGUGAAUCAUCGAAUCUUUGAACGCAUCUUGCGCUCCUUGGUAUUCCGAGGAGCAUGCCUGUUUGAGUGUCAUUAUAUUCUCAACUCUCCAAUACU